UCAGCUAAAUUAGAAAAAAUCUUCCUGCAUCAUAACAGUUUCUCUCAUCUGUCCUCGGCUCGCAGGUGAUUGUUGGAUUUACAGCAUCUGACAGAAGAGGAGCCGUUAGUAGCCGUUUUACCUCAAUUUGCCUCUACACGAACACAAUGGCUUCUUCAAAAAAGACAUAUCCAAGUCCUGGUGGGAGGGGGCCCGCACAACCUAAACGGGAGAGUUUCCCAAAAACUUUCCAAGGAGGGGCCAGAAGAAGCUUCCGCAGUGACUGGUACCAAUCCAACCCUUGGCUGGAGUACUCACAGUUAAAAGAUGCAGCUUAUUGUUUUGCCUGUAGGCAGUUUUCCCUCCCCGAUGCUCCGAGGACUGUUUUCACCUCACUCGAGGGGUAUCAUAAUUGGAAAAAGGCAACAAUGAAAGACAGUGGUUUCUUUUCUCAUGUAAAUGCAAUGU